CAGACUUGAAUCUGAUUGAACGUCUCUGGAGAGAUCUGAAAAUGGCUGUGCACCGACGCUCUCCAUCCAACCUGAUGGAGCUUGAGAGGUGCUGUAAAGAGGAAUGGAUAAACCUUCUCAAAGAUACUGUAGGUGCACCAAGCUCGUAGCAUCAUAUUGAAGAAGACUUGAGACUGUAAUUGCUGCCAAAGGUGUGUGAACUGUCAGAUUGGUUACGUCUGUUAUUAACAUGAAUAUGAAUGGUCCAGAUAAUACAAUCGAACAGCAAAAAUGUCAGAUUCAGGUGACUUCAGUAUGUAAUGUGAACACAGCCUUACAUAUGUAAACACAGAUAUGACCUGCAUAUUACUUCUGAUGAUGUGACUGCAAUGAAAAGAUGAUAUUCAAAUCAGUUGUAAAAAUUACUGUGAAUAGUCUGGAAGAGAAAAAUGUACAUGCUAAAAUGUCAGGUUCAGGUCACGUCUGUUGGUAAUGUGAACACAACCUUACACAUGUAAACCAGAGCUGACUUACAUCUGAUCUCUGGAGAUGUGAUUGCGAAAAUUUUAUCAACCAAAAGUCAGCUUCAGGUCAUUCCAGCUGUUAAUGUGAACAUUUCCAAAGUGCCAUACAGCGUGUAUACAGCUUACCAUGCUAUUCAUUGUAGAAACACUGUAUUUUAUUGCUUCUUUUAAAUAUAUGAGGAUAUUGCAGAAGCUGUCAAUCACUCCAGACAGAGUGAAUUCUGGGUGAACUUGUGAGUUUGGAAAUGAAACGUUUUGUUCUAAUCAUUAUGCUGUUUUUUUGUCUAAACUGUAAAGUUGCUUGAAAGUGAUACCGCAGUGAAAUGUGAAAUUAAUUCAAUAUUGUGUUUUCUAAAUAUGUGCCUGCAGGUGCAUUUUAAAAGAAAUAGUAGCCUGUUUUGAUCCAGUGAUCCAAUCUGUGCACUUUCAAACGAGUUAGUGAAAAAAAAAAA